AGUGAACGCUGGCGGUAGGCCUAACACAUGCAAGUCGAACGGCAGCACAGGAGAGCUUGCUCUCUGGGUGGCGAGUGGCGGACGGGUGAGGAAUACAUCGGAAUCUACUCUGUCGUGGGGGAUAACGUAGGGAAACUUACGCUAAUACCGCAUACGACCUACGGGUGAAAGCAGGGGAUCUUCGGACCUUGCGCGAUUGAAUGAGCCGAUGUCGGAUUAGCUAGUUGGCGGGGUAAAGGCCCACCAAGGCGACGAUCCGUAGCUGGUCUGAGAGGAUGAUCAGCCACACUGGAACUGAGACACGGGCCAGACUCCUACGGGAGGCAGCAGUGGGGAAUAGUGGACAAUGGGCGCAAGCCUGAUCCAGCCAUACCGCGUGGGUGAAGAAGGCCUUCGGGUUGUAAAGCCCUUUUGUUGGGAAAGAAAUCCAGCCGGCUAAUACCUGGUUGGGAUGACGGUACCCAAAGAAUAAGCACCGGCUAACUUCGUGCCAGCAGCCGCCGUAAGAC
rnacentral:rRNA from 1 species